AAAAAAUUUUUAAAAAAAAUCUAGAAUAUACCUAUUAUAUUACUAACAUUUUACGUUCCCAACCAAUAAAAUGAUUCUUAUUUGAUUUAUCUAUUUUAUUAUAAUUUGCAAAAAAACAUUCUUACUAUAUUUUUUUUAAAAAAAAUAAUAUGAUUAAUUUGUUAAGGAUGACAUGGUACAACUAGGACACAAUAGAAUUUCUUGCAAGACUUGAGAGUCUUUUAUUUCAGUUUUAAAGUAAAUUUUUUUUUCUUAUUUUAGGUUAAUUAAUUGGUGGGCACGUAAAUUACAAAAAGUUUUCCUUGCACUACAACAAAAACGAUCUAUAACGACACUUUUAAAUAUAGGUAUAUGUCAAAAAAGUGCUGUUAGCUAAAAUUACCGACAUUUUUAAAAAGUGUUGCUAUAUGUGGGGUCGCUAGGUAUAUAGUAACAGUUAAAGAGUGUCGCUAUAACCUAAAAGAGUGCUGCUAAUUUACCAAUACUUAUUUAAGCAUUUAGCAACCGCCGAAACUCUAUCUCGUUAGCUUCGAUGGCGGAGGAGGACGACAGGAAAGGCUCUUCGUCUAGAAUUUCAGUGGAUUGAGUGAAGAGAGAAGAAAAGAUGGUAAUUGAUUUUUCUUUUUUUUUUCUUUUCUGUUUGUAAUCGGGCCAAAUAGACUGGGUGUGGUGGGUUGAGUAGAGUAAUCUUUUAUUUUUGGUUGGAUUGGGCUUUAUAUAUAGGCAUUAGUAGAUGUUUUUUUAAAUUUUAGGAUAAAUGGGACACUUACUCAAAAAUGUCCCAAACAUGUGUCCCUAUAACCUAAUUUUGUUGUAGUGUUGGUUCGUUUCAGGAACAUUUUCACUCAUAAAAAUAUAAUUUAUUUGUUUUAUUAUUUUUUCUAAGAUGUUAAAUGUAAAAAUAUAUAAAUAUCGUUUUCUAAGCCUCCGUUUGGUUCGGGGUUAAGGAAAAAGUAGCUAUUCCAGGGAUAGAGUUAAGUUCAGGGUUAAAGUGGGGUUAAAGUUUUUUUGUGUUUGGUUGGGGGUUGGAGUUAGUCUAGAAUAAUGAAAAAUAGUGUUUGGUUGGAGUAGGUGGGAUAAGAAGAUAAUGAUUGAUAAAGAAGGAUAAUGAUUGGUUGGAGUAGGUGUGAUAAGAAAGAUAGUGGGUUAUUAUGAAUAGAAAAUAGUGUUUGGUUGGAGUUUGGUGGGGUUAGGUGGGGUUAGCUAACCCGGGAUAAUUUAUUUGAGGUGGGGUUAGCUAACCCCAUCCAUUUUUUGAGGUGUUUAGGGAUAAUAUGGGGGUUAAGGGGUUAUUCCACCCCUUAACCCCCAACCAAACAAGGGCUAAUAGUUUAAAAUUUUAGAAUACGACUAUUGUUUCAUAUAUUUUACUUUUAUAUAUUUUACAGAAGAUGCUGAGAAAAUUCAGUAUGUUGGAAGAAUCAAAAUUUAGUUGUUAUUUUGCUAGUUGAUAAUCAGGUUGUUGAAUAUAAAUAUUAAAAAUAUAUUUUCUGACAAUUUAUAAUUUGAAAAAAAAAAUAUUUUUUUCACACAAUUUAUCAU
rnacentral:lncRNA from 1 species